CCAAAUUUGAAGAAAGGCAGUUUUUUGGAACAGCAGAAAUCAGCUAAUGGAAUAUCAAGUGAGUUAUGAUCAGGGGAAAUAUAUAUUGCAUAUUUUGGUGGUGUUAUUGACUAUAUCAUGUUCCGAACCAUAAACAGUACCCUAAAAGGUGUAAUUCUUCGGUCACCAAAAUUUGGUGGCUUUGGUAGGAGAGUAACAAAGGUGACUUUUGAGAAAGCACCGUUGGAAUAUUUGACAGGAAUAACAGGGACUUUGGGUCGUUUUAACGGCCAUUUAGUUGUAAAAUCUCUAUGUUUUUUAUAAACAAUGUGAAGAGUUAUGGACCCUUUGAUUCUGAGCGUGUGCCUGAGUCCGGGAAAAGAAGCUCUUUUCAUCUUCUGAUGAAAAGAUUGGGCUAUCGUUGGACUCCACGGGUGUGACUCGUACCUUGAUGCUAUUGGUGUUUAUUUGCAGAAAAUUACUCGUCGCACUUUACCAGAGGAACUUGAAUGUGAUGACCAGAAAUCUGAAGAAGGCGGUGGAGGAUAAGAAGUAUAGAGUCACAAUUUAAGCAAAUUACUCUCUCUGUUUCAAUUUGACUUCUUGGCACGGAAUUUAAGAAAAAAGAAGAAGAAAAAAGAAAGUCUUUUGAAACUUGUGGUCUUAAAAACUUAAGGAGUAUAGUUUUGUGGGGCUAUAAGAUUUGUAUGAUUAUAAAAGUUUCUCAUUAAAGGUAAAAUUGGUAAAAUAAAAAGUUUAAAGUUGAAUUAUUUUUAAAUUUAGAAAUAUGUCAUUUAUUUUGAAACAGACUAAAACGGAAAGUAUUUGAUCUAAUUUGAUACAAAGGGAAUAGCAUUUUAGUCAGGGGUGGAGCCAACUAACGGUACAAUAGUUUUAUUGUAUUAAAAAGUUUACCUAUAAAUAAUCUAUUCCGAACACAGCGAGCUGAAAGAGUUGUGGUUUAGUAUACUUUUGUAAUGUUAUUUUCCUAUGUUUUGUUAAUUCUGGUAGAAAUGUCUUUCCGGAGCUUCUGUUGCAAAUAGCUUCAUUAAAUAUAUAUGUUGUUGUAAUGGUGAAUUGUGAAUCGAAGUUUUUAUUUGUGUGUC